rnacentral:sRNA from 1 species
UACUAGAAAGUUCUCUGCCGCAAAACAC